rnacentral:rRNA from 1 species
UACGUAGGGUCCGAGCGUUGUCCGGAAUUAUUGGGCGUAAAGGGCUCGUAGGCGGUUUGUCGCGUCGGGAGUGAAAACUCAGGGCUCAACCCUGAGCGUGCUUCCGAUACGGGCAGACUAGAGGUAUGCAGGGGGAGAACGGAAUUCCUGGUGUAGCGGUGGAAUGCGCAGAUAUCCGAAGGAACACCGGUGGCGAAGGCGGCUUCCUGGACCGACACUGACGCUGAGGCGCGAAAGCUAGGGG